rnacentral:rRNA from 1 species
AUUGAACGCUGGCGGCAGGCCUAACACAUGCAAGUCGAACGGUAACAGGAAACAGCUUGCUGUUUCGCUGACGAGUGGCGGACGGGUGAGUAAUGUCUGGGAAACUGCCUGAUGGAGGGGGAUAACUACUGGAAACGGUAGCUAAUACCGCAUAACGUCGCAAGCCCAAAGAGGGGGACCUUCGGGCCUCUUGCCAUCGGAUGUGCCCAGAUGGGAUUAGCUAGUAGGUGGGGUAACGGCUCACCUAGGCGACGAUCCCUAGCUGGUCUGAGAGGAUGACCAGCCACACUGGAACUGAGACACGGUCCAGACUCCUACGGGAGGCAGCAGUGGGGAAUAUUGCACAAUGGGCGCAAGCCUGAUGCAGCCAUGCCGCGUGUAUGAAGAAGGCCUUCGGGUUGUAAAGUACUUUCAGCGGGGAGGAAGGGAGUAAAGUUAAUACCUUUGCUCAUUGACGUUACCCGCAGAAGAAGCACCGGCUAACUCCGUG